UGGGUUGUAAACUGCUUUUGCAGGGGAAUAAACCUACCAAUGAAUUGGUAGCUGAAUGUACUCUGAGAAUAAGGAUCGGCUAACUCCGUGC
rnacentral:rRNA from 1 species